rnacentral:rRNA from 1 species
AAAGAAACCAACAGGGAUUGCCUCAGUAACGGCGAGUGAAGCGGCAACAGCUCAAAUUUGAAAUCUGCCCCCCCGGGCCGAGUUGUAAUUUGCAGAGGAUGCUUUUGGCGAGGUGCCUUCCGAGUUCCCUGGAACGGGACGCCAUAGAGGGUGAGAGCCCCGUCUGGUCGGACACCGAGCCUCUGUAAAGCUCCUUCGACGAGUCGAGUAGUUUGGGAAUGCUGCUCUAAAUGGGAGGUAUAUGUCUUCUAAAGCUAAAUACCGGCCAGAGACCGAUAGCGCACAAGUAGAGUGAUCGAAAGAUGAAAAGCACUUUGAAAAGAGAGUUAAAUAGCACGUGAAAUUGUUGAAAGGGAAGCGUUUAUGACCAGACUUGGCCCGGUUGAUCAUCCAGCGUUCUCGCUGGUGCACUCUGCCGGUCCAGGCCAGCAUCAGUUCGCUCCGGGGGACAAAGGUUUCGGGAAUGUGGCUCCCUCCGGGGAGUGUUAUAGCCCGUUGCGUAAUACCCUGGGGUGGACUGAGGUCCGCGCAUUGCAAGGAUGCUGGCGUAAUGGUCAUCAACGACCCGUCUUGAAACACGGACCAAGGAGUCGUCUUCGUAUGCGAGUGUUCGGGUGCAAAACCCCUACGCGUAAUGAAAGUGAACGCAGGUGAGAGCUUCGGCGCAUCAUCGACCGAUCCUGAUGUUCUCGGAUGGAUUUGAGUAAGAGCAUACGGGGCCGGACCCGAAAGAAGGUGAACUAUGCCUGUAUAGGGUGAAGCCAGAGGAAACUCUGGUGGAGGCUCGCAGCGGUUCUGACGUGCAAAUCGAUCGUCAAAUAUGGGCAUGGGGGCGAAAGACUAAUCGAACCUUCUAGUAGCUGGUUUCCGCCGAAGUUUCCCUCAGGAUAGCAGUGUUGAACUCAGUUUUAUGAGGUAAAGCGAAUGAUUAGGGACUCGGGGGCGCUAUUUAGCCUUCAUCCAUUCUCAAACUUUAAAUAUGUAAGAAGCCCUUGUUGCUUAAUUGAACGUGGGCAUUCGAAUGUAUCAAC